rnacentral:piRNA from 1 species
UCUUACGUCUAUGUGUGACCUUAGAGUGCC